rnacentral:rRNA from 1 species
UAUUGGUCAAUGGGCGGGAGCCUGAACCAGCCAAGUCGCGUGAGGGAUUAAGGCCCUACGGGUCGUAAACCUCUUUUGCCGGGGAGCAGGGCGGCGGACGUGUCCGCCGUUUGAGAGUACCCGGAGAAAAAGCAUCGUCUAACCUCGUUCCAUCAGCCGCGGUAAUACGGAGGAUGCGAGCGUUAUCCGGAUUUAUUGGGUUUAAAGGGUGCGUAGGCGGGCUUUUAAGUCAGCGGUAAAAAUUCGGGGCUCAACCCCGUCCGGCCGUUGAAACUGGGGGCAUUGGGUGAGCGAGAAGAAGGCGGAAUGCGUGGUGGAGCGGUGAAAUGCAUAGAUAUCACGCAGAACCCCGAUUGCGAAGGCAGCCUUCCGGCGCCCUACUGACGCUGAGGCACGAAAGUGCGGGGAUCGAACAGGA